CCCACACUCACCUAGAGGCUGCAGCCCCAGCCGUCAGGCUGAAAUCAAAGCGACACGCGUCUCACUGGUGGGCCUGCCUCAGGCCAGUACCCCACAGGACCCUGCUGCUGCUACCCCUUUGGAUUCAAGGACAGGCCAGGCCUUCCCAUGAUCUGGGCUAAACAGGGGCUGGAGCCCUGGAUCCCAGUCCUGUGGUGGGGUUCACUCCUCACCUAGGACGUAGGCAAGCCCUGCCCUUUCUUAUCCCCAGGGCAGCUGAGGCGCAGGGAGGGGGAUGCAGGGACUGCUCUGGAGGGGGCUUACUGCACAGGCCCAGCCAGCCCACCCUCAGAGAGCAGGGUCCCAGGGUAGAGUCAGCACCCCAAGCUGGGAGGCUGGGGUCUCCUUACACUGCCCCCUCCCCACAGACCUUCCAUUUCCCACCUGCAGACUGAACACAGCACUGUCUGCCCUGACGACUGCCUGGGGGCAGGGGAGGUUGUAAAACAGGUUCUGGAGAAGUAAGAACUUUUUAAAAAGGAAAGAAAAUAGAAAGCCAAUCCAGGUAAGGGCAGCCUGGUGACUAUUAUCCUGGGGAGACUCCCCCACCCACACUUUCACUCCAGGCUCACCCGAGGGCUGCAGCUUCCUCCGGAUGGAUCCAGGGCGGCUACUGGUCCCAGAGCUGGGGGCUGAGUGGGCCCGUGCUGAGGGCUGUGGCGUCUGACAAGCCGGCUCCCACUGUCAGCAGGGAAGGGCGGGUGGGCGUGGGCCACGGCUGCCCUGGCCCCCCACCCUGCUGUGCUUUUCUCUACUCCCCUGCCCUGCCUCCUAACCUCCUAACACCCAGUUUCCUCAUCUGCAAAACGGGCAUGAUGCUCGUGCCCCAGCCUCACAGUUAUGGCAAGAAUUAAACGAGAUAACACAUGUAAAGAAGUCAACUAGUUACCACUGUGUGCUAGGUACAACUAGUACCCACUGUGUGCCACCCCCACGGCCAGCUGGUCACCCCACAGGAACCUCUGAGGCCAAGAAGAAUUACCUGUACUGAAGAGGCUCCUGGCUGUGGGUUCCAGCUGUAGCUCCACCCACUUCCGGCAGCUUCCCCGCCCCCUCUGCUUCAGGACGUCCCCGCCCAGUUCCCGCUGCUCCCGCCAUGAUCCAAAGUCUCUGACCCAGGGCCACCUGAGCCAGGCCUGUGACAGUCCCCGUACCUCUAGAUGCUCCUGGCUCGACCAGGACCCAAGCUCUGCCCUGCGUAGCCCAGGCCCCAGCUCCACAGAGCGCACCCGUUCAGCAAACUUGAGGGAAUAGAGCGUCUCGCUAGUGUUCUUCUCCACAGGGGACACCUAGGGGACACAAGAGCUCACUGCCCAACCAGGCCAGCUGGAGGGACAGCAGGGUCAUCAGAGGGAGCUCACAACUGGGGAUGUCAGAAGGCUUCCUGGAGAGGACUGAGAUGCCUGGGGUCACUGGGUCUCGCUGCUAGCGCAGCCCCUACACUCUAGGGACUGGCCCGCCCUAACCCAAGGCACUCACCUGUACCACCAUGAGGGUCUUGCUGUCACCACUAAGUGAAUCCUGCAGCAGGUAGGUGAGCUUGGAGUUGCGGAAGGGCACGUGGCCCUGGCGGGAGCGCAGGGCAGCAAUGACGUCCCCCAGAGCUGACAGCGACUUGUUGAUGUGCUGUGCCUCCCGCAGGCGGCUGCCCUCAGCCCCCGACUUGCCCACGCGCUCGGAGCCAGCCAAGUCCACCAGGUUCAGCUUCCCUGCAGGGAGGGCACCCAGCAGAUCAGGCCUGCCGUGCCCCUUGUGGUUGUGGGGAUCCUCAGGCCAGGCUGCCCGCCACUCUCACCCGUGGUGCGGAGGCCCGUGCUGCAGUCCAUGCCUCGCACCGUCACGAUGAGCAGCGCGUGCGAGCGGGAGCUGUGCUCGUUGAGAGCAGCGUGGCUGUGGUCAGGGGCUCCCUCCUCCACACCUUGUUGAUGUCGUCCACGCUCUGCACUUGGAACUCAGUCAGCCCUGGUACAUACAGCUGCCCACUGCCAUCUGGGCAUAGCCGGAUCUCCAGUUUUUCCUGAGGCUCUUUCCCUAGCAGGUCCCUGGAGGGGUAGCUCCUCCACCGCAUUCGGCUGACGCAGAGAUCUCACUCCACAAUGCAAUGAGCCCUGUGGGCAGGGCCCCCAGCUGCCCACUCUCACCCAUGGCCACCUGGUGCAGCCCACAGCUAGGGGCAAAGAUUGCCUGGGUCUGGGCUGGGGCAGGCUGAGAGAGAGCCCCUCCUCCCCCUAGGACCACCCAAACCGAUGGGCUGAGUCAGGACUUGCAGCCAGGUCCCUUGAUGGCCUCAUCUGUUCCCUGCACUCCCUUCAGGAAGACCCCACUUCCUAUCCCCCAUGGCUCCAGCACCACCCCAGAGGACCCCAAAACUGCCCCUGAGGCCCGCUCCCCACAUGCUGGGGCUCCCACCUGAGGACCUCGUUCCAGCACCACCCCGGAGGACCCCAAAGCUGCCCCUGAGGCCUGCUCCGCACACCCUGGGGCUCCCACCUGAGGACCUCGUUGUAGAUCUCCGCGGCGCUGACGGUGAUGGUGUACUCCCAGUCAGACGCCUUCUCCUGCACCUCAGAGAAGAGCAGCUGCAGGGCCCGCUGGUUGAUACCUGGGUUCUCGGGGGUCCCCUGGGGGCAGAAGGAAAGGCCCCAGUGAGCCAGGCCUGUCCCCAAAGAUGCUCGUGUGGCGUCUGUCCCCCAAGCCCCUUGGCUACUCCUCCCAGGCAAGCCUCCUUGCCCAAACCUCCUACCUACCUGCCACUGUCCCCCCAAAAUGCCCUCUACCAGCUGCAGGCAACUAGGCAACUACACCUCUAUUUCCUCACCAU